rnacentral:rRNA from 1 species
AACCAUGCACCGAAGCUGCGGCAGCGACGCUUAUGCGUUGUUGGGUAGGGGAGCGUUCUGUAAGCCUGUGAAGGUGUGCUGUGAGGCAUGCUGGAGGUAUCAGAAGUGCGAAUGCUGACAUAAGUAACGAUAAAGCGGGUGAAAAGCCCGCUCGCCGGAAGACCAAGGGUUCCUGUCCAACGUUAAUCGGGGCAGGGUGAGUCGACCCCUAAGGCGAGGCCGAAAGGCGUAGUCGAUGGGAAACAGGUUAAUAUUCCUGUACUUGGUGUUACUGCGAAGGGGGGACGGAGAAGGCUAUGUUGGCCGGGCGACGGUUGUCCCGGUUUAAGCGUGUAGGCUGGUUUUCCAGGCAAAUCCGGAAAAUCAAGGCUGAGGCGUGAUGACGAGGCACUACGGUGCUGAAGCAACAAAUGCCCUGCUUCCAGGAAAAGCCUCUAAGCAUCAGGUAACAUCAAAUCGUACCCCAAACCGACACAGGUGGUCAGGUAGAGAAUACCAAGGCGCUUGAGAGAACUCGGGUGAAGGAACUAGGCAAAAUGGUGCCGUAACUUCGGGAGAAGG